rnacentral:rRNA from 1 species
UACGUAGGGAGCGAGCGUUGUCCGGAAUUAUUGGGCGUAAAGAGCUCGUAGGCGGUGUGUCGCGUCGGCCGUGAAAACCUGCAGCUUAACUGUGGGCUUGCGGUCGAUACGGGCAUCACUGGAGUUCGGCAGGGGAGACUGGAAUUCCUGGUGUAGCGGUGAAAUGCGCAGAUAUCAGGAGGAACACCGGUGGCGAAGGCGGGUCUCUGGGCCGAUACUGACGCUGAGGAGCGAAAGCGUGGGGAGCGAACAGG